rnacentral:rRNA from 1 species
AUUGAACGCUGGCGGCAUGCUUUACACAUGCAAGUCGAACGGCGGCGCGGGCUUCGGCCUGGCGGCGAGUGGCAAACGGGUGAGUAAUGCAUCGGAACGUGCCCAGUAGUGGGGGAUAGCCCGGCGAAAGCCGGAUUAAUACCGCAUACGACCUGAGGGUGAAAGCGGGGGACCGAAAGGCCUCGCGCUAUUGGAGCGGCCGAUGUCGGAUUAGCUAGUUGGUGGGGUAAAGGCUUACCAAGGCGACGAUCCGUAGCUGGUCUGAGAGGACGACCAGCCACACUGGGACUGAGACACGGCCCAGACUCCUACGGGAGGCAGCAGUGGGGAAUUUUGGACAAAGGGGGCAACCCUGAUCCAGCCAUGCCGCGUGCGGGAAGAAGGCCUUCGGGUUGUAAACCGCUUUUGUUCGGGAAGAAAUCCUCUGGGCUAAUACCCCGGGGGGAUGACGGUACCGGAAGAAUAAGCACCGGCUAACUACGCG